rnacentral:ribozyme from 14 species
AAAUGAUCAAAACCAAACAGAACAAAAAGAAAAAAAAAAAGAAAAAAAAAGUCCCUCCU